ACGGAGGGUGCGAGCGUUAAUCGGAAUCACUGGGCGUAAAGCGCACGUAGGCGGUGACGUAAGUCGGAUGUGAAAGCCCUCGGCUCAACCGGGGGACUGCAUUCGAUACUGCUUGGCUUGAGUGCCGGAGAGGGUGGCGGAAUUCCAGGUGUAGGGGUGAAAUGCGGAGAUAUCAGGAGGAACACCGGUGGCGAAGGCGGCCACCUGGCAGGCAACUGACGCUGAGGUGCGAAAGCGUGGGGAGCAAACAG
rnacentral:rRNA from 1 species